AGAGUUUGAUCAUGGCUCAGGAUGAACGCUGGCGGCGUGCCUAAUACAUGCAAGUCGAGCGAACCACUUCGGUGGUGAGCGGCGAACGGGUGAGUAACACGUAGGUGAUCUGCCCAUCAGACGGGGACAACGAUUGGAAACGAUCGCUAAUACCGGAUAGGACGAAAGUUUAAAGGUGCUCCUGGCACCGCUGAUGGAUGAGCCUGCGGCGCAUUAGCUAGUUGGUAGGGUAAAGGCCUACCAAGGCGACGAUGCGUAGCCGACCUGAGAGGGUGAACGGCCACACUGGGACUGAGACACGGCCCAGACUCCUACGGGAGGCAGCAGUAGGGAAUCUUCGGCAAUGGGCGAAAGCCUGACCGAGCAACGCCGCGUGAAUGAUGAAGGCCUUCGGGUUGUAAAAUUCUGUUAUAAGGGAAGAACGACUUUAGUAGGAAAUGGCUAAAGUGUGACGGUACCUUAUGAGAAAGCCACGGCUAACUACGUGCCAGCAGCCGCGGUAAU
rnacentral:rRNA from 1 species